rnacentral:rRNA from 1 species
GGGACGAACGCUGGCGGCGUGCUUAACACAUGCAAGUCGAGCGGAAAGGCCCACUUGUGGGUACUCGAGCGGCGAACGGGUGAGUAACACGUGAGUAAUCUGCCCUUCACUUGGGGAUAACGUCCAGAAAUGGGUGCUAAUACCCGGUAUUCACUUCUUCACGCAUGUGGGGUUGUGGAAAGGUUUUUCUGGUGGGGGAUGUGCUCGCGGCCUAUCAGCUUGUUGGUGGGGUAAUGGCCUACCAAGGCUUUGACGGGUAGCCGGCCUGAGAGGGUGACCGGCCACACUGGGACUGAGACACGGCCCAGACUCCUACGGGAGGCAGCAGUGGGGAAUAUUGGACAAUGGGCGGAAGCCUGAUCCAGCAACGCCGCGUGAGGGAUGACGGCCUUCGGGUUGUAAACCUCUUUCACCAUUGACGAAGUCGCAUUCUUUUGGGUGUGGUGACGGUAGGUGGGAAGAAGCACCGGCCAACUACGUGCCAGCAGCCGC